rnacentral:rRNA from 1 species
UUAAGAUACUAAGAGCAUACGGUGGAUGCCUUGGCGAUAUCUGCCGACGAAGGACGUGACAAGCUGCGAAAAGCUGCGGAGAGAUGCAAAUAAUCGGCGACCCGCAGACAUCCGAAUGGAGAAAUCCGGCUGUGAUGAUGCACAGCCAUCCAUGCCCAAGAGCAUGAGAAGGGAACCGGGCGAACUGAAACAUCUAAGUAACCCGAGGAAAAGAAAUCAAACGAGAUACCCCAAGUAGCGGCGAGCGAACAGGGAAGAAGCCCAAACCGGUGAAGGAAACUUUGCCGGGGUUGAGGACCAUCAGAUCCGCGAAGAACUUUAGCCGAAACUGUUGGGAAACAGUGCCGAAGACAGUGAAAGCCUGGUAGGCGAAAAAGAGAAACGCGGAGAUGGCACCAGAGUACCGCGGGACACGAGAAAUCCCGUGGGAAACAGGGGGGACCACCCUCCAAGGCAAAACACAGAUAUCGACCGAUAGCGCAUAGUACCAUGAGGGAAAGGUGAAAAGCACCCCGGGAGGGGAAUGAAAGAGAACCUGAAACCGUAUGUUUACAAGCAGUCGGAGACCGCUUAAUAAUAAGGUCGACGGCGUGCCUAUUGAAGAAUGAACCGGCGAGUUACGAAGCCUGGCAAGGUUAAGCAGGAAAUGCGGAGCCGAAGCGAAAGCGAGUCUUAAGAGGGCGCAAGUCAGGAAGCGUAGACCCGAAACCACAGUGAUCUACCCAUGUCCAGGUUGAAACACAGGUAAAAAUGUGUGGAGGACCGAACCUAUAUCCGUUGAAAAGGGUUAGGAUGAGGUGUGGGUAGGGGUGAAAUUCCAAUCGAACGUGGAGAUAGCUGGUUCUCCCCGAAAUAGCUUUAGGGCUAGCCUCAGGGAAAAGAUUGCAGGCGGUAGAGCACUGAUCAGGAGAGGGACCUACCCGGUUACCAAACCCAGUCAAACUCCGAAUGGCUGCAAUCAUACCUGGGAGUCAGACUGCGACUAAUAAGGGCCGCAGUCAAAAGGGAAACAGCCCAGACCAUCAGCUAAGGUCCCCAAUGCCGUGCUAAGUGGAAAAGGAUGUGGCAUUUCAUAAACAACCAGGAUGUUGGCUCAGAAGCAGCCACCAUUUAAAGAGUGCGUAAUAGCUCACUGGUCGAGAGACGCUGCGCCGAAAAUGUCCGGGGCUCAAGCACGGAACCGAAGCUAUGGCAUGAUAGCAAUAUCAUGGGUAGGGGAGCGUUCUUAUAAGGAAGAAGCAUGACCGGAAGGACAUGUGGACAAAUAAGAAGUGAGAAUGCCGGUAUGAGUAUCGAAAAGAAAGGUGAGAAUCCUUUCCACCGAAAGCCCGAGGGUUCCUGAGCAACGAUCGUCGACUCAGGGUAAGUCGGGACCUAAGCCGAGGCGGAAAGCGUAGGCGAUGGACAACAGGUUGAAAUUCCUGUACCGGAUCAAGUCGAUUGAGCGAAGGAGCGACGCAGGAGGGCACAUGAUCGCGCGGCUGGAAGAGCGCGUCCAAGUGCGUAUGUUGCAGCAGAGGAAAACCCCUGCAGCUAAAAGCAGAGACAUGAAGGGGAGUUAAAGGAAACUUUGACGAACUCAUGGAUCCCACACUGCCAAGAAAAACUUCUAGCGAGACAAGAUCCGCCCGUACCGUAAACCGACACAGGUAGGCGGGGAGAGAAUCCUAAGGUGCGCGGGAAAACCCUCGUUAAGGAACUCGGCAAAUUGCAUCCGUAACCUAGGGAGAAGGAUGGCCCCCGGUCAGUGAAGAGCAGAAACGCUCAGAGCUAAAAGGGGCGGCAGAAAAGAGGCCCAAGCAACUGUUUACCAAAAACACAGGUGCCUGCGAAAGCGAAAGCUGAAGUAUAGGUGCUGACGCCUGCCCGGUGCCGGAAGGUUAAGGAGAGAAGUUAGCGAAAGCGAAGCAUCGAACUGAAGCCCCGGUGAACGGCGGCCGUAACUAUAACGGUCCUAAGGUAGCGAAAUUCCUUGUCGGGUAAGUUCCGACCCGCAUGAAAGGCGUAAUGAUUUGGGCACUGUCUCAACGAGGGGCCCGGUGAAAUUGAAAUACCUGUGAAGAUGCAGGUUACCCGCGACUGGACAGAAAGACCCCAUGGAGCUUCACUGCAGCUUGAGAUUGAAUCCCGGUGACAGAUGCACAGGAUAGGUGGGAGGCGCCGAAGCAUUGCCCUAGGGCGGUGCGGAGCCGAUGUUGGGAUACCACCCUUCUGUUGCUGAGAUUCUAACGCGAGGAGUAACGACCCUGCGGACCCUCUCAGGCAGGCGGUUUGACUGGGGCGGUCGCCUCCGAAAGAGUAACG